CACACUGACAUUGCAGUAUUUUGAAUCGGUCGCGCACAGAACUAAUAUCAGUACGUAGGCUGCAGACGACAGUUUGGAUAGUUUCUAUUUGGAGCGAAUUGGAUUAUUCUGGACUAGGUGCACGGGAAUCGCAGCCUACUUUCCCCCAUCCAUCCUAACCAAUUGAAAAUCGAAGUUCUUCCGGGAGUCGGCGGCAUAGGAUUCCCCCACAGACCCUGCGCCACCCACACGAGAAACCAAGACACCUUCACCGGGAUCAAGCACAGCCGCGUCCCGUUAACCGAACGCUGCUGGCGGCAAAAUGCACAAGAAUAAACCCGCCCCGCCGCCGCGCUUCUGGAUCCUGCACAAUAAGAGCCGGCCCGAAAUGCCAGAAACAUGCCGCCAAAGGCCCCUCCGCCGACUGAGGCAGGGAUCCGAAGCCCACUUCCUAGAGAGAAAGUCCCACUGAACACACAGAGACUGACUUGGGAGUGAAUAUGUUUCCGGAUGGCGCAAACACAAGUGGUUGAUACGUGCCUCCAUCCGUCUCCUUUGGAACCCAAAGAAAUUCGUUCGCCAAAUUGUUUCUUUCUUCUCCCGGCCCCCCGCCCCGCCACUCCCUUUCUCCUGGCUGUUUGCUUUCGGGCUUGUCAUCAUUCUUUUGGGAGAUAAGAAAAGAAAUCAGGUCCUUUUCUUCCCUCCCCGCACCCCGGCCACUGGACCCGGAUUCCUAUUUGGGGAGCCCUUUUGAUGUCCCCCCUUUAGCGCCUUUGACUUCUCGUGUGAAUGGCAGCCUUUUGUUGCCGACCCACAUUCCCUUUCAAGGGCGGGGGGAGAAGAACCAUCUCCUUGAAGUGCCCGCUGAUGGGUCCCUUUUCCGAUGGGCCGGAAGGGGGGAAACGGUACGAGACCAGAGGAAGCUGCGGUCGUCCCAUUAGUCAUUGUGUCUGUCUGGGACAGUUCUUUUUCGACGGGUGUUGAAGGGCUGGCAGAAAACAUCACCAACAGGUUUAAAAAAAAAAAAAAAGCAACUCUCUCUUCCCCUUGUUGGAGGCAAGGAGGAGGAGAUGGAGGGUUCCUUUUUCUGCGAUUUCUCAUUUCUAUACCGCCUUUGCAUCGCUUUUAUUUUCAAUAGGAAACCGCAGCCGCUCGGAUGCAAACCAAACACUCCCGAACAGAGAAACACGCACAAAAAAACCGGUUCGUUCAGCAAUCUCCAAAUUCCCAGCACUCCAGUUUGAAAAGGCGGAACUUAAAUCCCGUUGAUUUCAAUAUAAUGUUUAAAACAUUUAACGGUAAUGGGCUUAGAUCGGAGUGCAAGAGAAAAAUCAUACUUAAAAAUCUCAGUUAUUAUUUGUUUGACGCCGGCAUGUUAAAACCAUUCCCCACGCAGCCCAGUCAAUUUUAAGAGGGGAAAAUAAUACCAACAUUGUCAAGAAUCGUUACUUGCCCCUCCUAACGAUUUAAGAUAACCCUGCAAUGUUUACGAAACUAUUAUCUGGACAAUCUGAUGACAUUUUUAAUGUUUAGUCUGGUGAGGAUAAGUCUUAUGGCUUUUUAUCCGCUUUAGAGUUUAUCACAUUAUAUUCUGAACAAGAAGAGACGGAAGAAGCGGAGACUCGCAGAACAUUUCCAAGGCAAAAAUAAACCAUUUUCUAAUUCA